CCUACGGGAGGCAGCAGUGGGGAAUCUUAGACAAUGGGGGAAACCUUGAUCUAGCCAUGCCGCGUGAUCGAUGAAGGCCUUAGGGUUGUAAAGAUCUUUCAGAUGGGAAGAUAAUGACGGUACCAUCAGAAGAAGCCCCGGCUAACUCCGUGCCAGCAGCCGCGGUAAU
rnacentral:rRNA from 1 species